rnacentral:rRNA from 1 species
AGAGUUUGAUCCUGGCUCAGGACGAACGCUGGCGGCGUGCUUAACACAUGCAAGUCGAACGGAAAGUGCCCUUCGGGGUGACUCGAGUGGCGAACGGGUGAGUAACACGUGGGUGAUCUGCCCUGCACUUUGGGAUAAGCCUGGGAAACUGGGUCUAAUACCGGAUAGGACCAUGGGAUGCAUGUCUUGUGGUGGAAAGC